rnacentral:rRNA from 1 species
UACGUAGGGUGCGAGCGUUAAUCGGAAUUACUGGGCGUAAAGCGUGCGCAGGCGGUUUUGUAAGCCAGAUGUGAAAUCCCCGGGCUUAACCUGGGAAUGGCAUUUGGGACUGCAAGGCUUGAGUGCGGCAGAGGAGACUGGAAUUCCUGGUGUAGCAGUGAAAUGCGUAGAUAUCAGGAGGAAUACCGAUGGCGAAGGCAGGUCUCUGGGCUGACACUGACUCAUGCACGAAAGCGUGGGGAGCA